rnacentral:rRNA from 1 species
GACGAACCGUGCGAACGUUAUUCGGAAUCACUGGGCUUAAAGCGCGUGUAGGCGGGCCGCCACGUCGGGCGCUGAAAUCCCCCGGCUCAACCGGGGAACGGGCACCGAUACGAGCGGCCUGGAGGGGAGUAGGGGGACCUGGAACUUCCGGUGGAGCGGUGAAAUGCGUUGAGAUCGGAAGGAACGCCCGUGGCGAAAGCGAGGUCCUGGGCUCCUGCUGACGCUGAGACGCGAAAGCCAGGGGAGCGAACGGG